CUUCUUGGUCAGUUGGGGGCCCACGUGUCACUAUAAAAAUAAUUUUAUACUUCAGUUAUCUGAUUUAAAGUAUGUAUGAACAUAUUUAUCUUUUACACCAUGUUUUUGGCGGGUUUCGGUAUUUUUGAAGAAAAAUGACGAAAAUGCCCUUGUGAGCCAAAAAAUAAUAUUUUAUUAUUCUGAUUUGAAAAUGACUUAUGAUUUCUUGAAAUGCGAGAUUUAAUAACUGUCGCUCACCGGGGAGAUGCGAAAGCUGAUGUUAAGCCUUUCGGGGUUUCAAUCGGCAUUCGGGGUAAUGAAUGCCUAUCGAGACAUCGCGACGAUUGUCACGGGCCCGAUGGGGAGUUCCGGGUCGUGACAAGUAUAAACUACUUUACAUAAUUAAGAUGAUAGUCUGAUUACUCACUAUAACAGAAGUAUUCCUACUCCUGGUCCUCGGUCACGAUAUCCUUACCCUUACGAGAGGGCUGACCACCUAUACAUAAUACACAACAAGUAAUUUAAUAUAUUUGUACAAACUAUUAUAGAACUAUUUCAAGCUCUAUAUGACUACAUGAAAUUGAAUGAGAAAUGUUCAAAUAAUCACUUAAAGAUGGUAUUCUAUGUAGGUUCAAUUGUUAUCGAACUGAAAUGGUAUUUGACCUGACUCGAACUAUACACUAUUUAAUUAGCCAAAACAUCCAAUUCAUCAUCAAUAUAUCCCCUAUUAAAUUCGGCCAAGGAGGGUUUGAUGAAGGACAUGUGGUUUUCUUGCUUG
rnacentral:lncRNA from 1 species